CAUGAAACAACAACAACAACGUGUAACCGAUUCACCGCCACUCGGUAAUUUCCGUAAGAUCUGGCGGAAAUUGACGAAUUUUCAUGCAUUUUAUACCGUUGGUUGAUGCUCCAAGAAACCUAAAAGGAAAUUUUGCCUGACUGAAACAUCCCGCUGAAGACACCAGACACGACUCCCAUCCCCGUCAAGUUACACUGACACCGGUGUCUACCAGUCUGAGUGCUUUUCCUUCCUCUUAUACAAGAUAUCACUCUCACAACUACGCCACCGCGUCAGGCACAUUUUAUAGAUGGAGUCUAAUUAACAGCUGAUCACGUUGAAACAUCGACCACAGAGCUGACGAACAUGAAUUUUGCGGCUUUUGCACCCCAAAGGGUUCAUUGCAGCCUCGCAUCCUACUGAUACAUGUAUCUGUUGAUUGUAAACUGACUAAAACUGCGGAAUAUCUUAUACCGUAGUAAAUGUGAAG